ACUCCUACGGGAGGCAGCAGUGGGGAAUUUUCCGCAAUGGGCGAAAGCCUGACGGAGCAAUACCGCGUGAGGGAAGACUGCCUAUGGGUUGUAAACCUCUUUUUUCAGGGAGGAACAAAAUGACGUGUACCUGAAGAAUAAGCAUCGGCUAACUCCGUGCCAGCAGCCGCGGUAAUAC
rnacentral:rRNA from 1 species